UACAGAGGUCUCAAGCGUUGUUCGGAUUCAUUGGGCGUAAAGGGUGCGUAGGUGGCGGGGUAAGUUGGAUGUGAAAUCUCGGAGCUCAACUCCGAAACUGCACUUGAUACUGCGGUGCUCGAGUACUGGAGAGGAGAUUGGAAUUUACGGUGUAGCAGUGAAAUGCGUAGAUAUCGUAAGGAAGACCAGUGGCGAAGGCGAAUCUCUGGACAGUUACUGACACUGAGGCACGAAGGCCAGGGGAGCAAACGGG
rnacentral:rRNA from 1 species